rnacentral:ncRNA from 1 species
CAGUUUGAUUCUGACUGAAAUAUUAGCUUUAAACCUACCAAAAUACAUGUAAAACCAAUUAUGCCCGCACUAAUUAACAUCUAAAAGAACUAAUAAAUAUAUUAAGAACGGAACUAAAUAUACUAGAGCGCCACAGUAAAUAACACUUUUCAAUUUGAAAAUCAUGAAAAGAGUACGGUUAAAGGGCUGGCAAAAUUCGUGCCAGCUGCCGCGGUUAUACGAUAAGCCCAAGCUAACAAAAUAUAGACUAAAUUAAUGAUAAACUAAAUACAUUACAGAAGUCUAAUUCAUAAACCUCACGACCCACAUUUAUCGCAUAAAAAUGAAAUCAUGGCCUAAAACAUGGAUUAGAUACCCACCUAUUCAUGAUAUAAAGAAUAGUCAAGUAUUACGAACAACAGUUUAAAACUCAAAGAUUUUGGCGGUGUCUUAUAAAACCAGGGGAACCUGUCUCAUAACUCGAUAAUCCACGUGUACUCAACCGCCCCUAGAUACAUACAGCCUGUAUACUGCCGUUGUAAGUACACCUCUAAAAGAAUGAGUGUACAUCUAUGACUAAGCCCCAUAUACAUCAGGUCAAAGUGCAGCUUAUAGGGUGGCGAUGAUGGGUUACAACCCCAAUAAAGACUAUCAACUAAGGAAUAAAAAAAUCUUAUGAAAGUGGACUUGGCCGUAAUCAAGAACAAAAUAAAAAAAUGAAUAAUAAUCUAAGACAUGCACACAUCGCCCGUCACUCUAUCCUAAAGGCUAGACAAGUCGUAACAGAGUAGGUGUAGUGGAAACUGCACCUGU